GACGAACGCUGGCGGCGUGCUUAACACAUGCAAGUCGAACGGUAAGGCCUUUCGGGGUACACGAGUGGCGAACGGGUGAGUAACACGUGGGUGAUCUGCCCUGCACUUCGGGAUAAGCCCGGGAAACUGGGUCUAAUACCGGAUAGGACUGCGCGGUGCAUGCCGUGUGGUGGAAAGAUUUAUCGGUGCAGGAUGGGCCCGCGGCCUAUCAGCUUGUUGGUGGGGUAAUGGCCUACCAAGGCGACGACGGGUAGCCGGCCUGAGAGGGCGACCGGCCACACUGGGACUGAGACACGGCCCAGACUCCUACGGGAGGCAACAGUGGGGAAUAUUGCACAAUGGGCGCAAGCCUGAUGCAGCGACGCCGCGUGAGGGAUGACGGCCUUCGGGUUGUAAACCUCUUUCAGCAGGGACGAAGCGUGAGUGACGGUACCUGCAGAAGAAGCACCGGCCAACUACGUG
rnacentral:rRNA from 1 species